ACAUUGCUGAUACGAUUGAGGGCGAAA
rnacentral:sRNA from 1 species